ACCUGAAAACACCUGCGAAAUUCCCAUCAAAAUCCAAUUUCAGUCCAAUCUAGGUUAAUUUUGCCUCAAAUUCUACUCAACUUCUUCUCUCAUGACUGCCAUAACGCUUCCCGCCGCAAAUGAGGUUUGUGAAUCCGCGCGCCUUCCGUAUUCACUCACAACUGCUUCGAAAAUACCUGCAAGUUUUGUCUUAUGGUGUGAAUUGGCAGGAAGAACACGCACGCCACGCAAAGAGGACGAGGACAUGUUAAAUCCUCGAUCAGAUUUGGUGGAAGGACCUGAGCCGAUGGCAGUGGAAGAACCAGAAGCAACAGAAAAUAACGCUGCAAACCAACCAACAGAGGUUCCCCGCACAAAAAAAUUUACUUGGAAGAUUGAGAAUUUUUCUAGGAUAACUGCUAAGAGGGUCUAUUCUGGAAUAUUUGAUGUUGGUGAUUACAAAUGGCAGAUUUUAAUUUUUCCGAAGGGGAACGAUAUUGAUGCCUUAUCCAUGUAUCUGGGUGUUACUGAUUCUGCCAGUUUACCUUAUGGAUGGACUAGAUAUACCCAUUUCAGUUUGGCUAUUGUGGAUCAAGUCGAUAGCAGUUAUUCAGUCAGAAAGGAAACACAAUACCAAUUCAGUGCCCGAAAAAUUGAUUGGGGCUUUGCAUCCUUUAUGCCACUUGGUGAGCUUUAUGAUACUAGCAGGGGUUAUCUUGUCAAUGACACUUGUUUAGUUGAAGCUGAGGUUGGGGUGGACACAGUUAUGGAUCCAUGGCUAUAUGAUUCGAAGAAAGAAACUGGUUUCGUGGGACUUAAAAACCAAGGGGCUACCUGCUAUAUGAACUCUCUCCUCCAAACUCUGUACCAUAUUCCUUUAUUCAGAAAGGCUGUGUACCACAUGCCUACGAAUGUUAAUGAUAUGCCAUCUGCAAGUAUCCCUCUGGCUAUGCAGCGUUUAUUUUACAAGCUUCAGUACAGCGAUACUAGUGUUGCAACAAAGGAGUUGACAAAAUCCUUUGGAUGGGACAACUAUGAAUCUUUCUUGCAACACGACGUACAAGAACUCAAUAGAGUUCUUUGCGCGAAGCUUGAAGAGAAAAUGAAGAGAACUGUUGUGGAAGGUGCCAUACAACAGUUAUUUGAAGGGCACCAUAUGAACUGCAUUGAGUGCAUUAAUGUGGAUUACAAAUCUAGUAGAAAAGAGUCAUUCUAUGAUCUUCAGCUCGAUGUCAGAGGUUGCCAUGAUGUCUAUGCUUCUUUUGACAAGUAUGUUGCGGUUGAAAAUCUAGAUGGAGAUAACAAGUAUCAUGCUGAACAGCAUGGUUUGCAGGAUGCUAAGAAAGAAGUGCUUUUUAUUGACUUCCCCCCAGUUCUCCAGCUUCACUUAAAGCGGUUUGAGUAUGACUUUGUGUCUGAUGUUAUGGGAAAGAUAAAUGACCGCUAUGAGUUCCCUCUUCAACUUGAUCUUGAUAGAGAUGAUGGCAAAUACUUGUCACCUGAUGCUGAUAGAAGAGUUUGUAACCUCUAUACACUUCACAGUGUUUUGGUCCAUAGUGGUGGUGUGCACGGUGGUCACUAUUAUGCCUUUAUACGGCCUACUCUUUCCGGCCAGUGGUAUAAGUUUGAUGAUGAACGAGUGACAAAAGAAGAUGUGAAAAAUGCAUUAGAUGAGCAGUAUGGUGGUGAAGAAGAACACCCGAUGCAGACGAUUCAGGGAGUCAACAAGUUUACCAAACACUCAAAUGCUUAUAUGCUGGUGUAUAUACGUGACAGUGACAAGGAUAAAAUUAUGUGUCAUGUCGAUGAGAAGGAUAUUGCUGAGAGUCUUAGGGAGAAGCUGAAGAGAGAACAAGAAGAAAAAGAACAAAAAAAGAAAUACAAAUCUGAAGCUCAUCUUUACACGAUUGUAAUGGUAGCCUGUGAUGGAGAUUUUUUUUGGCAGAUUGGACGUCAUGUUAUCUUUGAUUUAGUCAAUCAUAAUAUGGUUAAGAGCCUCCGGGUCCAGAAGCUGAUGCCAUUUAAUGUUUUCAAGGUAGAGGUUGAAAAUGAAUUCGGCAUACCGGUGCAAUUCCAACGGUUUUGGCUGUGGGAAAAGCGCCUAAAUCAAACUUAUCGUCCCGUUCGUCCAUUGACACAGGAUGAGGAAGCACAAACUGUUGGGCAUUUGAUGAGUAUAGCUAGUAAAGUUCAGAAUAAAGAGUUGAGGCUAUUCCUUGAGUUUGAAUCUGGGCCGGAUUCACUGCCUAUCCCUCUCCCUAAUAAGGAAAAAGAUGACAUUUUGUUAUUCUUCAAGCUUUAUGAUCCAGAAAAGGAAGAGCUUAGAUAUGUUGGUAGACUUUUUGUGAAUAACUUGGGAAAGCCAGUAGAUAUCUUUACUAGACUAAAUGAGAUGGCUGGCUAUACUCCUGAGGAAGAUAUUGAUCUUUAUGAGGAAAUAAGAUUUUAUCCUAAUGUGUUGUGUGAUCAUAUGAAGAAGGGAUCAACUUUUAGAUCUAGCCAGCUUGAGGAUGGGGACAUAGUUUGCUUUCAGAAGUCCCUUCCAACCGAAGUGUGCCAGCGUCUUCGUUACCCAGAUGUUCGGUCAUUCUUUGACUACCACCAUAAUCUUCAAGUUAUUCAUUUUCGGCCCCUAGAAAAGACUAAAGUAUAUGAAUUUGGUUUAGAACUGUCAAAGCGUGACAAAUAUGAUGAAGUUGUAGAAAAAGUGGCUCACCGACUUGGAUUAAAUGAUCCUACUAAAAUUAGACUCACGUCAUGCAAUUCAUUCACCCAACAACCUAAACCUCAUCCUAUAAAGUAUAGAGGAGUAGAUACUUUACUAGAUAUGUUACUGCAUUACAAUCAGGUUUCUGAUAUAUUGUACUAUGAAGUCCUGGAUAUACCUCUGCCAGAAUUGGAAGGCUUAAGAACGCUUAGAGUGGCUUUCCGUCAUGGGACAAAUGAUGAAAUGGAAAUUAACUCUAUUAGACGGUCUAAAGAUAGCACUGUGGCUGAUUUGCUUGAUGAUCUCAGGAUGAAGAUUCAGCUGUCUCGUCCUGAUGUAGAACUCAGAUUGCUGGAAGUAUUCGCCCACAAGAUCUACAAGAUAUUUCUUUCAGGUGAAAAGAUAGAAAGCAUAAAUGACAACUAUUUGGCUUUACAGGCAGAAGAGAUACCUGAAGAAGAGAAACAUCUCGGUCCCCAUGAUCGCUUGAUUCAUGUAUAUCACUUUAUGAAUGAAGGAAAUCAGAACAAAGCGAAAAUUCAGAAUUUUGGAGAGCCCUUUUUAUUGGCCAUUCAUGCAGACGAGAUUUUAGCUAAUGUCAAGAUUCGUGUUCAGAAAAAGUUAGAUGUAUCAGAUGAAGAGUUCUCUAAGGUCUCUUUUUGUAUCUUAUACACACUCUCCCUCUCGCUCUCCUUACACACACAGAAUCAAAAAGGAAAAAAAACCCCUCUCAUUUCUCUGUUGAGCAUCCACUGAUAUUAUAUUGUUAAGAUGAGCCAACAUCUCACAAUAUUCGUAUUUAUUCUUCUGAAUCUCGGGCCAGCAGACAAGCAGCAUUUAUAUUUGGGAGCAGUAUCUUGGGUUGGAACACAAAAGGCCUCUUGCAGCUAAUCAGUGUCGUCAACCAUCUGUUGUGAAGAUAUACAAUUAAGAGGGUAAUGGAACAGGAUUCUGGAGUGGUCGAGUUUUGUAACUACCAGAGGCACUUCUUUCUCCUUUCGUGCCAAAGAUUUUGGAGGACACCCUGUAACCAAAGAUUGAGUCAGAAAUGCAUUUUACAGUAUAGAUUCUAACAUUCAUUGUUGCAUGCUACAGAUUGAUUCAGAAAUGCAUUUCACAGUUUAGAUUGUAACAUUUCAUUGUUGCAAGGUCUUCAUCAGAAACCACAGAUUGAUUCAGAAAUGCAUUUCACUUGUUAGAUUCUAAAAAACCAGUGCUGCAAGCUCUUCAGCAGAUAUUAGUAUGUGAGAUCUCUCCAGAUGGAUACUUUGUUGUCUGAAUUUACCAUGGCUUCCAUCAGAUGAUGGUUCGAUUAGUAAAUUUUGUUGAUUCGUAGGUUCUUAGAUUGAAAUUUUGGCCUGUGUAUGCUAGCGCUGUAGAAAGGGUCGUCAAGAUUUUGGUUUCAAUUCUAAGAUGUACAUGUGUAUAAAACUAGUAGGAAAAGAAAAGCAGAAUCAAGAGCUUUGGAUGUUGUACAACUACCUUUGAACUUGAUUUCAGAGUAAUAAUUCUUGUGGUAAUUGUUG